rnacentral:rRNA from 1 species
GCGGAAGGAUCAUUGUCGAAACCUGCCCAGCAGAAAGACCGCGAACAUGUUACAACACUCGGGGGGCGAGGGGUGCCGUGCGCCUUGAGCCCCCCAUGCCGAGUGCGUGUGGCUUUGCCCCGCGUCCCCGGCCACCAACCAACCCCGGCGCGGAAUGCGUCAAGGAAACAUAAAGAAACGAGCUUCUGCUGCGGCCCCAGAUUUGGUGCUUGCCGCAGCAGAUGUGUUGUGUUUCGUUUAAGUCUAACAACGACUCUCGGCAACGGAUAUCUCGGUCUCCUCGCAUCGAURAAGAACGKRGCGAAAUGCGAUAUUGUGUAAAUUGCAGAAUCCCGUGAACCAUCGAGUCUUUGAACGCAAGUUGCGCCCGAAGCCAUCCGGCCAAGGGCACGUCUGCCUGGGCGUCACACACCGUUGCCCCCCUAAAUCCCUAUGACACUGCCCAAUAUGGUGCAUAGGGACCACGAGUGGCGGAUAAUGGCCUCCCGUGGGCCAAGGCCCGCGGUUGGUCUAAAUUUGAGUCCUCGGUCACGGUUUCUGUGGCGAUAGGUGGUUGUCGAUCAUUCGGUGCCCCGCCACGUUCUCCGGACAAAAGCAUCGAGAGACUUCGACAAACUUGACCCCAAUGCUCCCCAUGUGGUGCUUCCAACGCGACCSCAGGUCAGCG